UUCUAAAUGAGAUAAUAUUUAGUAAGACCUGCUCAAUGAUUUUAAAUAGCCGCUUUUAAGUGCUAAGGUAGCGCAAUAAAUAGCCUUUUAAUUGAAGGCCAGUAUGAAAGGUUUAACAUGUGAUUAUCUUUAUUAAUUUAAUUUCUUAAAUUUUUCUUUAAAGCAAAAAGACUUUAAUUAUAAAAGGGACGACAAGACCCUAUCGAGCUUCACUUAUGUUUAACUGGGAGGGUAAAAAACUAUUUCUUUAUUAUUCAUUUUUUCAAAUCCUAUCCAUUAGAAUAAAAAGUUACCGUAGGGAUAACAGCAUAAUUUUUUUUUAGAGACCUUUUCAAAAAAAGAGAUUAUGACCUCGAUGUUGAAUAUUUUUCUUUUUGGAGCAGACACUAAAAAAGAAAGUCUGUUCGACUUUUAAAACUUUACA
rnacentral:rRNA from 1 species